rnacentral:tRNA from 1 species
GAGGGCACAGCUCAGUGGCAGAGCAUGUGCUUAGCAUGCACGAGGUCUUGGGUUCAAUCCCCAGUACCUCCA